rnacentral:rRNA from 1 species
UACGUAGGUGGCAAGCGUUGUCCGGAAUUAUUGGGCGUAAAGCGCGCGCAGGCGGUCCUGUAAGUCUGAUGUGAAAGCCCACGGCUCAACCGUGGAGGGUCAUUGGAAACUGGGGGACUUGAGUACAGAAGAGAAGAGUGGAAUUCCACGUGUAGCGGUGAAAUGCGUAGAGAUGUGGAGGAACACCAGUGGCGAAGGCGACUCUUUGGUCUGUAACUGACGCUGAGGCGCGAAAGCGUGGGGAGCAAACAGG